CAUUAUGACUUUGAUAGUAGUAACUACUAGAAAGGGUCGGGGUCGUUGCACUUCUCCCUCUUUUCAAAGAGCGCGUCCUCGCGCUAGUUUGGGACUACGUUUUACAUGAACUCGCACACCUGUCGAGCACACGCACUGUCGUGGAUGCAAGAUCCGAUCACUUCUGACACUAAUGUAAUGAAACAGGCAGGGAGCAGGUCUCGAACCCUUCAAGAUGGACAAACAGUUUUCCGCUUCUCGUUUUUCAAGGGAAGGACUUUUUAAAGAAGUAAACGCGCACAUACGGAGGAUUUAACCAAAGUUUUUUUUAAACUGACCCAAGACAGACCAGAACCUGUCGUUUCCAAUGGGAGCAAAUGAAUCAUAGUGGACAGAAUAACCAAGGAUAUAGGCAGAGCCAAGCACGGGCUCGUGAGGUCGUAUUGGCUUGUUUGAACAUUUAUUCGAUCAUUUCGUUAGGGAACACCGAGCCCUUGCGCUCCUGCCAAGCGACACUUUUUUUUCUUUCUGUUUUUUACUUUGGAAAAAGUAAAGUCUACAAAACGCAGUCCAGUCUGUUUGUUACAGAUAAUAGUUUUGGAAACAGAACUGUAUGAAGAUCAAAUGUUCCAUCGAUGACAAAAAUAGCAGAAUGUUGGACAAAAGCCACCUCUUCUCCUUAUUUUCCCUCUGCCGGCCAAUGGACUUCCCCUCAUCGCCAUAUUUGAUAGUUAGUGGAAACGCCAACCGGAUGCUUCACAUUUAUACAUCCGGUGAAAUAUCUGUCCCAUUGUUCAAGGGGUGUAAAGCAACAGAACAAUCUCCGUCUCGCGAUAGUCUGAACGAAGGCGAGAGAAGGGUCGUUACCACAGCCACAAAGUCGUAAACGCCGCAUACGCGACCAAUCCGAUGAUGGAGUGUGAUGGCGGUGAAUGUACACUAAAUUACGGUACCAGCCCUUACCUCAACCCCACUGACAUAAAAAAAUAGAUGGGUAUCCUUUUCUGUCUUCCAUGAACAUUAUUAUAUGUCUAAUCAAACAUUUAAAUAACCAUUUUUACAUACCUGAUCAACCUGUAACCUGUGUGUUUGCUUGUUUACAUCUGUCUCCUACCCCAUUCCCUUUACUCUGCUCUUGUUCUCCAGAAUCUAGGGAUUCUGCCCAACACCCAGACAUGGAUCCACCUGAUGUCCUGCAUUACCAACCACUCUCCAACUGUUCAUUACAUCAGCUACUGUUAUUGUCAUGUUGUCCAUAUCUGCUAAGACAAGCCAGUGUAUGAAUCAAAUGUUUUUGCAUAUGAAUGAAGUGGAAAUUAGAUGACUUUGUGAUCUGUAAGGUAAGUAACAUUAAUGUUGCCUGGUGGUUAGAGCGUUUGGCCAGUAACCGAAAGGUUGCUAUAUUGAAUCCCCGAGCUGACCAGGUAUAAACCUGUUGUUCAUCCCCUGAACAAGGCAGUUAACCCACUGUUCCUAGGCUGUCAUUGUAAAUAAGAAUUUGUUCUUAACUGUCUUGCCUAGUUAAAUAAAAAAAAUGGGGAAACGUCA